GCCUACGGGGGGCAGCAGUGAGGAAUAUUGGUCAAUGGGCGAGAGCCUGAACCAGCCAAGUCGCGUGAGGGAGUACUGCCCUAUGGGUUGUAAACCUCUUUUGUCGGGGAGCAAAAGCCGGACGUGUCCGUCUGUGAGAGUACCCGAAGAAAAAGCAUCGGCUAACUCCGUGCCAGCGGCCGCGGUAAUACGGAGGAUGCGAGCGUUAUCCGGAUUUAUUGGGUUUAAAGGGUGCGUAGGCGGGAUGCCAAGUCAGCGGUAAAAAUGCGGUGCUCAACGCCGUCGAGCCGUUGAAACUGGCGUUU
rnacentral:rRNA from 1 species